rnacentral:lncRNA from 1 species
GUGGAUUCAGUCCUUCCUGGUGAGAGGCAGAGGCUUCAUGUGGCCCUGCACAGUGCCAGGUCUCAGUGCUGGGUUGGGCUGGUCAUGGCCCCGCUGUGCUGAGCUGGCUGGGCUGUGCCACACUCCACUGUCCCUGUAUCACAAACUUUGCCAUAGCUCCCAGCUGGUGACAUGGCAACCCACAUCACAAAAGGGACAACCCCAAAUAUGGGGCAAAGGCUGGGUGCCACUUUGCCCGUGAUGUGACUAAGAAGAGGAGCUUGACUGCUUGGCUCUCUGCACGUCAUAGGCAUGGCUGCUUUCUGGAGAAUGCACUUCUUCCUCAGCCUGAAGGAUGACAAUAUCUUCUACCCCAUCCUCUGGAUCAUGCUGAUCCUAUCAUUAUUUGUAUUCGUUAUGGCCUUGUGGAAGUGGAAGGGUGGGAGGCCAAGGAGGUACCACUGCAGAGACAACGCAGAGAAUUACAGAGGUGAGCAGCAUGGGCAAGGACAGAUGCCCUGCAAAGACACCCUGUAGCCCCACAGAUCCGUGGCUCCAUCAGGGAAGGGCUUUCUGCACUUUUUUUCUGCUCCUGCACUUCUGUCAAAGCAGAUGAAGGCAGCUGCAUUUCACAUCUGACCCUCAGCACUCCUCUGCAUGGAGCAGAUUUGAGUCAUGCUGCUGUGGACCAGCCUGACUUCAUGCUUUCAGAUGCUCUUGAGCCCCAAAGAGUCCAGGAAACCUUGGACUGAA